UACGUAGGCAGCAAGCGUUGUUCGGAGUUACUGGGCGUAAAGGGUGCGUAGGCGGCUUCUUAAGUCUGGUGUGAAAUCUCCCGGCUCAACUGGGAGGGUGCGCCGGAUACUGAGGGGCUAGAGUGUGGGAGAGGAAAGUGGAAUUCCUGGUGUAGCGGUGAAAUGCGUAGAUAUCAGGAGGAACACCGGUGGUGUAAACGGCUUUCUGGACCAUAACUGACGCUGAGGCACGAAAGCGUGGGUAGCAAGCAGG
rnacentral:rRNA from 1 species